rnacentral:tRNA from 1 species
GGGACUGUAGCUCAGGGGUAGAGCGGGGGCCUGAAGAGCCCCGCGUCGGUGGUUCAAUUCCAUCCAGUCCCA